AUGACCUCGGAUCAGGUAGGGAUACCCGCUGAACUUAAGCAUAUCAAUAAGCGGAGGAAAAGAAACCAACAGGGAUUACCUCAGUAACGGCGAGUGAAGCGGCA
rnacentral:rRNA from 1 species